rnacentral:snRNA from 1 species
GACCCUCUUAGGAGGUCAUCCGUUAAAUUGGAAGCGAUACAGAGAAGAUUAGCAAAGUCCCUGCGUAAGGAUGACUAUAAAGUAAUCAAGAAGACAAACCUUUUU